UGGGGAAUAUUGGACAAUGGGCGCAAGCCUGAUCCAGCCAUGCCGCGUGGGUGAAGAAGGCCUUAGGGUUGUAAAGCCCUUUCGCACGCGAAGAUGAUGACGGUACCCGCAGAAGAAGCCCCGGCUAACUCCGUGCCAGCAGCCGCGGUAAUACGGAGGGGGCUAGCGUUGUUCGGAAUUACUGGGCGUAAAGGGCGCGUAGGCGGUCUGUCGCGUUGGGCGUGAAAGCCCUGGGCUCAACCCGGGAGGUGCGCUCGAUACCGGCAGGCUGGAGACCGGGAGAGGAGAGUGGAAUUCCCAGUGUAGAGGUGAAAUUCGUAGAUAUUGGGAAGAACACCGGUGGCGAAGGCGGCUCUCUGGCCCGGUUCUGACGCUGAGGCGCGAAAGCGUGGGGAGCAAACAGGAUUAGAUACCCCUGUAGUCC
rnacentral:rRNA from 1 species